rnacentral:lncRNA from 10 species
GUGCUCUUGUGAUUGUGACUGACACAGGCAGCACCCUUUUGCAGAAGUAGAUGUGCGUUGCUGAGAAAUUUUCUGCCUAAGUUCUGGUUUUCUUUGCAGCACCCAGCAUUUGUUUCUAACACAGGGAAAGAGUGAGCUGGAGAAACCUCUCAAAUUCAAGAAAGCGUAAAGCAAAUUGAACAAUACGGGUGAGGAGCACGGACUAUUCUCUCAUGUUGAAUGUGGCACUUUUUACAUACAAGCAGGAGAGCAACUACACCAAGAUUUUGGAAAACAUGUUAUGUAAGGUUAAUUGUGACCUCUAUGAUGGGGAUAUGAUAAAGAAGAAAAGUACCUCACAGCGAUGAUUGGCAUGUGAUCACUUAGCCAAUGAGAUAAGAGGCUGUAGAAACGAUGUGAUAAUGACAUCUCCUGAGUUGCAGGUCCAUAUUAGAAGUGGAUAUGAAGUAAACAUUGAGCUUUCCUCACAUUUAAUUAACAAGCUUUAUUAUAGAUACAGCUCAAAUUAGUUAAUUCAGGAAGCUUAUUUUGUAGAAAUUAAAACAUUAAUAAACACAUACAUUUAGAAAUAAAGAACUCGGCUGACCCUUUGACUCUUUGAAACAAGUGGCCUUCCAUGCUGUGAAAGAUUGUAGCCACUCUUUGAGACAUUGGAAUGGUGUCCAUUGCAUUUUAUCAAGUUAACUAUAGGUCAGCCUGGGAAAUCUGAAGUUUCCUUAUCUCCUGUCACUGUGGUUGCUGUGAGAUUUUGUGUCAUCACUGUGCUGUCUUCCCUCUCCACAUGAAGGUGAGCUGUCUGGCUUCACUCUAACGUUUGUGAUUUCACGCCCGACCUGAUUGUUGCCAAGCAAUUCCUUUGUUUGGAGAAUUCUGUGCUUUGUUUAGAAUUUUUUAAAGGUUCUUUUCCUGUGGUCAGAUUUCUGUUUGCUACUGUGUCUUAUGCCUUGUUCUCCUACAGAGAAGAUUCUUUGAAGUUAGUGGAAGCUCAGCUUAAAGGAAGAUCUACUGCUCUGUGUGGUGGAUGACCAUGGGGGAGCGAGAAGGCAGCCUCCGGCUUUUGUUUUGUGUGUGUGUGUGUGUGUGUGUGUGUGUGAUGUACCUGGAAAAAUAACACGACUAGGAUUAAAGAGUAUGUUUGGCAUGUUUAAAAUAAAUUGUAAACCAAACGUAUUUUAAAGAAUUUAUACAAAUUUGUCAUUUAGUAAAAUGAAUGACUAUUGAGUAUUCAUGUCAAUAAAACAACCACUUGAAUACAACAAA